rnacentral:lncRNA from 1 species
CUCAACAAGGCUCUGAAAACUGCCCUCGCUGCGCCCCAGCGGCCGGGAGGGGGCGCCCGAACUCGCCAUAACGCACUAACGACAGCGCCCACCCCGCGCGACCCGCCUCCAGUGACGCGAACUGGAGCGCCUGAUCAACCCGGAGAUCCCGGGAGCCCGGGCGAGGCGCCGCCGGGGCUUAGGGAGCGCGUGGGGCCGUGGGAACCGAUCAAAGUUUUCAUCAAGUUCUUCUGUAUGUAUUGAGACUGAAAAGUGACCGAAACUUUUCAUUAUAAAAGCUUCAGUAUCUCAGAGAGAAACUGUUUCCUUGGAAGUGCUUUUUCACAACCAUUCUGGAAUUUUCCCAGUGAAGAAUUCCUCCAUGCUGGUCUCAUUCCAACCAACCUCUUCUGCUGAACAGUUUGAAGAUUUGCUGAAGCCUCUGAUGGAACAUAGCAGUGACCUGAGCCUUUUGGACCUUGCUGCCAUCUGCCAAUAACAACAGAAGACCAUUGGAACCAGCUGAAUGUCCAUCUUUAGGGGACUAAUCAAAUAAUGUAGGACUCAUCCAUUCAGUAGGAAACAAUACAGCUAUUUAAAAAGAUAAAGAAGUUCUCUAUAAAUGACUAAGAUCUCCAGGUUAAAAAAGAUAGGUGCAGAACAGUGAGUAUAGUAUGUUAUCUUCUAUAUAAAAACAAGGGAGAGUGUAAUAAAAGAAUAUAUCUAUAUUUUCA